rnacentral:rRNA from 1 species
AUGGCCAAUGAGAAACAUGUCAAUUCAAAAGGCCAUGAAGUAAUAGAACUAUGCUGCAAAUCAGUGAAGGGUGUCAAAUUCUCAGAAGCAGAUGGUGUAAUUGGCAGUAAGACGCAGAGUUGUGAGCUACCCAAACAACAAAGUCUCUGCAAGCUGUUCUCGGAUGCUAUGGCUUCAUCGUCAUUCUCUUCGUCAACAUCAUCCACGUCCAUUGAAGGAGACAAAUGUGUAACUGCAGAAACUAGUAGUUCUGACAUGCCCAACAAAGCCUUCGCUAAGACUAAAGAAGCAAAUAAGCAUUGCGAUAACAAGUACUCUGCUGAGCCUAGUAACAGAGAGAUGUCUGCUCCAUUCAUUGAUCUGAAUAUGACACCACCAGAAUGUACUGAUUUAGGCUGCACCUACGAUUCAAAUUUAGAGGUGCCCAAUCUUGAGCAUAGACAUGAUGAAACUUUAAGUUCUGAUGCUGAAUUGCUCGCUGGUGGAGAAAACUUGAUGAAUUUAUCUUUUGGCUCACAGGGACUGGAAAGCCAACCACCUGCUUCUGACUUUGAAAAAAUAAAGAGUUCAAGAUGGGCAGGCACAUUUUUGAAUGGUGAGGCAAUCAAUGUUUCCGACAUAGAUGCUGUUGGUUCUCCACUGAGCUUAAGAGAACUCGCCGAGACUCGUUGGGGUUGCAGUAAUGUUUCAGUAAAUGAUACCAUGACUAUGAGUACAUAUCCUUGUGCAUUGCCAGACCAGACAUUUCAGGAUUCAUUUACGCAGCACAAGACUUGGUUCUCCAGAAAUCUGAAUAAUGUUGGCUCCCAGCUUUCUCGUGAAUGUAAUGUGUCUCACAGCACGGAGUUAUAUUCUCGUUCUGAGUUGAACGUGGGGCACGAGUGUAGUCCUUCUACGGGACAGACAGUUCGUUUGAUGGGUAAAGAUCUUACAGUUUGCACGACCAGAGGUGAAUCGUUUGCUGAAACUGCACAGAAACAUACAGGAACUUCCACCAAUGACUAUCUUAAGGCAAAUGUAUUAUUGCCACAAGGACAGCCUUUUUUCUCUUUACAAGCUCAAAGUUUCCCCAAUGUUGCGGUAAAUUCUACCAGAACAACUCAAGCUUCAACAUAUCAUGCAAGCACAAGUCACGCACAUUUUGGGUACAGGACUCCACAUGAUUUCAGUCACCCGUUUCCUGCAGCUAAUAUAUUUUCUGGAGAUCGAUUGCCAUAUGAAAGCAGGUAUGGUGGUUUUUCAAACUCACGGACCAAUCAGACUUUUCUAUUGGGGUGUCCACCUCUUCCGAAUCAUAGCAGUGCAGCAUUCCAUCAGAAUACACCGCGUCCUUGGCGUUAUUUCUCUGAUCCCUUCGCUGGGGAUGAACCACCUGCAGCACCAUUUUUGCCUGUAACCGGACAGCAAAGGACACCACCUUCAGUGUUCCAUGCCGAUUUACCUCGUCAACAUGUUGUGCAUUCAGCAAGGUCGUCGGUUUGCCCUCUUAACUCUGUGAGUUAUACACUCAGCCAUCCAGGCCAGGUAAUUCAAGAAGUUUCCAACAGCACAGGAGAUGCAGCCCUUCUGUCCAGAAAUACAGAGAACCGAAUGAGGAGAGCUGUUCCUGACAAUUCCAAUGCUUCUUCUAGUUGUCGCAGUGUGCAGAAGAGAUCAGGACCGGUGAAGCUCACUCCCGGCGCGAAGCAUAUACUGGUGCCAAGCGAUAGCACACAUGGCGAUUCUAUGCCUGUGUACUCCUGUUUAUCCUUCGGAAGUAGGAGCGGAAAUGCUGCAGGGUCUCAGAACAAAGGAGCAUGA